UCCACUCAACCCCCACCCCCACCAGCUGGUGGCUAUCUGCUUUUGCCUCUGCAUGACCUGCUCGGAGCAGCAUUAUGCAACACGGACGAGCCUGGAGAGAGGGAGAGAAACACCUACUGCGAAUCGCAAAACUUUCCUCUGUAGCCAAAACAUUGCACAAGGAGUUUUUGUCUACACGGACAAGUGACAACCAUCCCCUGUUACGUUCUGCUGUAGUACUUCAGGGCAGGCAAAACCACUGGAUUAUUUUUGAGCCUUAUAUGACUGCACAAACAUCAAGAGUAUUUACAGAGGAAGCAAAGAACCUGAUGAAUUGCCACUGCUGGUUCUUCAGGGAUACCUUACCGCUGAUUAAAGUCAACUGAUACAUUUGGUUUCCCAAAUCUGGUAAAGAAACACAAAUCUGCAUAAACGUGUGUUCAGAAAUUGCUUGACUGUAAUCCAAAAUACAGGUUAUACACAUCAAAGCUUCCAAACUGUCUACACUGGAAAUGUAGUCCUAUCACAAUAUAACCAUUUCAAUGCGAUUUUUCAUCUCUCUAAUAUUCUGUUGACAAUCUUGCUUUAGGCAGUGAGAGAAAGGCAAAUGUUAACAGAAACUCAGGGUGUUGUAAUCCGCAUUCCACUGAAGAUAAUGGCAAAUUCCCACCUGACAUUGUAUCAAAGCAACCACAUACCAUUAGCAACCUCCACCACCCCCCAUUGUCAGGCCAGAGGGAGCUGAAGGUCAUAUAAUUAAUUUAAUUUGGGAAUUAAGAUAAACAUGACAACCUAUGAUCACUAACAUCACUGAGUGCCACAAGCAAACAGCCACAUGCCAAUUCCAAAACUGACUGUAAGCCAAGAAUCUAAUUCUGUAACUUUUAUAUAAAUGAGUUAUACAAAGGAACUUGACUCAGAUAAAUAAACUAAGGCUAUAAUACAAUACACAGUUACCUGGGAGUAAGUCCCAUUGAACCCAAUGGAGCUUAUUUCUGAGUAGACAAGUAUUGGAUUGCAGCCUAAGCCAGAUGCUACAAGACAGAGACUUUCUACACUUGGAACAGCAGCAGAUUACUUCAUAAAAAGUUGCUUCUUGCUCCAAAUAUGAAGAUCAAUUAGACUCAGAAUGAAAACAUAACUGGCUGUUGAACCCUUCCUAAGAGGAAUUAAACCUUGGUGUUUUAAAAAAAUGUACUGCCUUCAAAUCGAUUCCGACUUAUGGCGACCCUAUGAAUAGGGUUAUCAUGAGGCUGAGAGGCAGUGACUGGCCCAAGGUCACCCAGUGAGCUUCAUGGCUAUGUGGGGAUUCGAACCCUGGCCUCCCAGGUCAUAGUCCAACACCUUAACUACUACACCACACUGGCUCAGCUUGGUGUUUUAGUACAGUCCAAAUUUCUCACAUUCAGUUAUUAUAAAGGAUGGCAGGAGGAAAAGCAGAUCACGUUCAGUUCUAAUUUUAAUAGGGCUAAGAGCCUGAUCCUAUGGCCUAUUAUAGUUGCUGAAGCAAUACCACAGCCUAUUGCAGUAUACUAUGUGAAGCUAGUGGGAUAUGCUUCUUGUUGGCAGGCUGGCUACUUGCUUAUGAACCUGGGAAACACUCCACCCCAACGUUGCCUAUAUAUUUCUUAAAAUGGCUUCAGUUUGGUUAACUUUGCGAGGCUGCUUAAGGUGUGAUGGGAAAAGGAGCAGUUUGUCAUCUGAAAUGAGAUAAUGUCACAUAUGCACAGGACAUGACCUUUUGCAAUCCAAUCAGUGCAAUCCAAAAAUAAUUGCAGGAGUAUGACCCCCAGGAAGGGAGUUGCUGGAAUUUCCUUUGAGGCUUUUGUUCAGAAAGGUAUAAAAACUGGAUUCUUAGAGCCAUUCUUAGUUCUGGGGUUUGGUUGCCCAGUUCCACUAUGAAAUCGCUUGCUAAAUCACUUGUGGGGGUUCUGGCUCUGCUUUUCCUUCACUAUCUCUUGCCCACUUGCUCAUCUGCACCAAAAGUCCACUACUUUUCCUGCCUUCCCUGGACCUAGCUGAAGCAAAGUUCCAAGAAGCCAUUUUCAGGGCUUCCUCCUGUUUGCUGUAUUCACUGUUUUCUC